AUUGAACGCUGGCGGCAGGCCUAACACAUGCAAGUCGAGCGAGCGGCGGACGGGUGAGUAAUGUCUGUGAACCUGCCUGAUGGAGGGGGAUAACUACUGGAAACGGUAGCUAAUACCGCAUACCAUCAGAUGUGCCCAGAUGGGAUGAGCUAGUAGGUGGGGUAACGGCUCACCUAGGCGACGAUCCCUAGCUGGUCUGAGCGGAUGACCAGCAACACUGGAACUGAGACACGGGCCAGACUCCUACGGGAGGCAGCAGGGGGGAAUAUUGCACAAUGGGCGCAAGCCUGAUGCAGCCAUGACGCGUGUGUGAAGAAGGCCUUAGGGUUGUAAAGCAAUUUCAGCGGGGAGGCGUUACCCGCAGAAGAAGCACCGGCUAACUCCGUGCCAGCAGCCGCGGUAAUUC
rnacentral:rRNA from 1 species